rnacentral:rRNA from 1 species
GAUGAACGCUAGCUACAGGCUUAACACAUGCAAGUCGAGGGGAAACGGCAUCGAAAGCUUGCUUUUGAUGGGCGUCGACCGGCGCACGGGAGAGUAACGCGUAUCCAACCUGCCCAUCACUUGGGAAUAACCUUGCGAAAGUAAGACUAAUGCCCAAUGACAUCCCACGAAGGCAUCCGAAUGGGAUUAAAGAUUUAUCGGUGAUGGAUGGGGAUGCGUCUGAUUAGCUUGUUGGCGGGGUGACGGCCCACCAAGGCAACGAUCAGUAGGGGUUCUGAGAGGAAGGUCCCCCACAUUGGAACUGAGACACGGUCCAAACUCCUACGGGAGGCAGCAGUGAGGAAUAUUGGUCAAUGGGCGAGAGCCUGAACCAGCCAAGUAGCGUGCAGGAUGACGGCCCUAUGGGUUGUAAACUGCUUUUAUAAGGGAAUAAAGUGGGUCACGUGUGACUUUUUGCAUGUACCUUAUGAAUAAGGACCGGCUAAUUCCGUG